UUUCAGAUCUCCCCUACCAAUCAUCGAUCUACUGUGGUACAAGCUCCUCUUUUUCAGAUCCGGCUUUGGGUCCGCAAAAGGGUGGUUGACUCGUUUUUGGUUUCCUCUAGUUUUGUUCUUGCAAGAAUGGUGGGUGUUCACGCACGUCGAUUGACAGUGGUGGUGGUCCGUGGUCGGGAGAUGGUUUGUUUCGGGAUUGAGUUGUUGUGCUUGGUUGGUGUUAAGCUCCCUCAUGUGGUUUUUGUUGCUCGUCGGUUGUGUUUGUUUCUUCAGUUGCUAGUUGUUUGUUGGAGGGCCUUUAUGUCUUGUUCGUCGGUAGUUUCUCACCGUUUGGCAUACUCAUAUCCGUUCUUUCAGGUUUGAGUGGGUGUUCUCCGUUGUCGUUCCAGUGCACUUUGUGUGUUUUGUUUUGUUUGAUGGUCACCAGAUGUUUGUUUGUGUUUGUUUUGUGGGUUUCGGACGACUGUUCUGUUGUUCGAAAUGAGAUCGGGAGAUUUAGACUUACUCAUUUUGUAAUGGUUGCGCGUUUGUGACUCAAAAAUUCGAAAGGGUCUGGUUUUGUUAAUCCGAAUGGGUCUGGUUUCUAAUACUCAUCAUUCGAUCUGAGUUCUUAUACGUUAAAAUCGGCUGUGUUUGGUGGCAUACUUCUUCGACUCUCUGAUGUUUCUAAAUCUGUUGAGAUUUGUAGGUUUCAAGUCCUCUUGUCUGCCUACACGUUGCUUCUCCGUGCUCGAAAGAGCUUUUUGCUUGCUGCUUUGUUCAGGGAGUUUUUGCCACUUGGAUCUUGAUAUCGUACUGGUGUUUGAUCCAUUCGCCGAAAUUAAACCCUAACUGUUCUUCGCAAUGUUCACUUUUCAUAUUUUUGUAACCUGGUUUCGUGCUCGUACGCCGGUUCACUGGGUUACGUCCGUGAUUAGUGAAUUCUUGUUAAGAUAGAUUAUGGUUGAUC
rnacentral:lncRNA from 1 species